rnacentral:RNase_P_RNA from 1 species
AGAAAUGUGAGGAAAGUCCGUGCAUUCAAGGACAGACUGCCAGAGAAACUCUGGACGGCGUGAGUCGGUGGAAAGUGCCACAGAAAUUAUACUGCCAAUGGAUUUUAUAUCACAGGCGAUGGUGCAACGGUGAGUUAAGAGCUUCACCAGCAAUAACGGGAGUUAUUGGCUAGGUAAACCCCAGUCGAAUGCAAGAUUAACUUGAAGGUUAUAAAGGCUGUCCGCCAACUUCAGACAAAUCGCUAGAGUUUGUGAGCAAUCACAUUCCCAGACAGAUGAUUAUCUAAAACAGAACACGGCUUAUGGGUUACU